rnacentral:rRNA from 1 species
CUCUACCAGAGUGGCCGGUUAAUUUUAGUCCAAGCGGUGUUAUCAGCCAUUCCAAUUUUUCACUUAAUGUCCCAUGACCCUCCGCCAUGGGUGUUCAAGGCCAUUGACAAAAUUCCCAGAGCAUUCCUUUGGAAAGGGACUGAUGUGGUAAAUGGCGGACACUGCUUGGUGGAAAAAGGUUUGUCGUCCAAAAGAGAGCGAAGGACUAGGCAUUUUGGGCCUGAAGAUUAUGAACUCCGCGCUUCAGUUGCGGUGGGCUUGGAAGGCACGCACAUCAAAUAA